UACGGGGGGGGCAAGCGUUGUUCGGAUUUACUGGGCGUAAAGGGCGCGUAGGCGGCGCGGUAAGUCGCUUGUGAAAUCUCUGAGCUUAACUCAGAACGGCCAAGUGAUACUGCAGUGCUAGAGUGCAGAAGGGGCAAUCGGAAUUCUUGGUGUAGCGGUGAAAUGCGUAGAUAUCAAGAGGAACACCUGAGGUGAAGACGGGUUGCUGGGCUGACACUGACGCUGAGGCGCGAAAGCUAGGGGAGCAAACGGG
rnacentral:rRNA from 1 species